rnacentral:rRNA from 1 species
UACAGAGGGGGCUAGCGUUGUUCGGAAUUACUGGGCGUAAAGCGCACGCAGGCGGUCCGUUAAAUUAGAAGUGAAAGCCCUGGGCUCAACCCGGGAAUUGCUUUUAAGACUGGCGGACUGGAAUCCGGAAGAGGGUAGCGGAAUUCCCAGUGUAGAGGUGAAAUUCGUAGAUAUUGGGAAGAACACCGGUGGCGAAGGCGGCUCACUGGCCCGUAACUGACGCUCAGGCACGACAGCGUGGGGAUCAAACAGG